GGAGGAAUGACUGAGUGGCUGAAGGUGUUGGUUUGCUAAAUCAAUAUAUUUAAUUUAAAAUAUCAUGGGUUCGAAUCCCAUUUCCUCUG
rnacentral:tRNA from 1 species